rnacentral:misc_RNA from 1 species
UACUAGUCAUCUCAAACACUUAUGUUUUGAAUUAUUCAGUCGCCAAACGGAUUUUCAUUUCCUACUUACUUAAACGCAAAGAAAACAUAUCGAAGUGGAUGAGCAGGGGCCACGGUUUUUCGAAGGGUGAAUAACGCUAUCUACUGCAUAAAUUUCUAUCCAGUGAAUAGCGCAGUAUGCGUUCUCGUAGCACUUAUCCGCUCUAUACCCAAUUUUUCUUUGGGAUAGCGUUGUCCGCUCUUUGAAUAAUUAGGCCCAGGAAAUUAAGGUACGUGUUGAACUAUCUUCGAGAUGGAAACCUUUUCUGCCCAAAUGACAACAAAGUCCAAAGGGAGCUGCUUGCAGAAGCCAGGUUUUAUCAAAUUCAAGGGAUAAUCACUGAUCUGGAAGAAAAAAUUCCCUUUGAAUCCACGUUGAUAUUAAAGAAUGAGGCUCAUCAUUCCAUUCUCCUAUCGUGGCUGCCGCCAGGUGCUAAUUGUUCAUUGCUGUACCAAGCCUCUUUUGAUGGACAAACUCCAGCUGACUUCCAUCGUUGCUGCGAUGAUAGAGGUCCCACUAUUGUGGUGAUUAGAGUCGGGCCGUAUGUCUUUGAAGGCUUUUCGUCACAAUCGUGGGAAUCGGCGUUUCAACUAAAAGCCAAGCAAGACAGCCAUUUCAGUUCCUGUUUACGUUGGUAAAUCCUUUUGGAACAAAGCCCAUGAAGAUAGCUACGAAGACAAAUGCAAGUAUACAUUGUAAAAGUGAUUUGGGACCAACAUUCGGUACCGCUUCCACACAGUGUUAUGAUCUUCAAGUCUGGUCGACAAUCGGUAGCAAUCUUGACCUUGGUUUUGGCUUGAAGUGUCCUGACAAUGUUGAUAAAAAGAAGUAUUUCUGCGGCACGUGUCCAUUUAACAUCGAUGAUCUGGAAGUUUUUAAAGUUAUCUUUUAAAGUUAACUUUAGUUAAGUUAAGUUAUCUUAAGUUAUCUUUUAAAGUUAUCUUUUAGAAGCAAAAUCUGCUUUUUGAAAUACGAGAUGAGUAUUUCAGGAUACAGUUGACUUUUAAAUACUAAAUAUAACCGUCUACUUGAGAUAAUAACCCAGUUUUGAAUAGCACACUUUUCAGGCUAACUGAGAAAAAGAAGUUUUGUAAAUUGCUAUAAGGUAACAAAUGCCAGACAGAACAUGU